rnacentral:rRNA from 1 species
UACGGGGGGGGCAAGCGUUGUUCGGAAUUACUGGGCGUAAAGGGCUCGUAGGCGGCCAACUAAGUCAGACGUGAAAUCCCUCGGCUUAACCGGGGAACUGCGUCUGAUACUGGAUGGCUUGAGUUAGGGAGAGGGAUGCGGAAUUCCAGGUGUAGCGGUGAAAUGCGUAGAUAUCUGGAGGAACGCCGGUGGCGAAGGCGGCAUCCUGGACCAGCACUGACGCUGAGUGAGCGAAAGCCAGGGGAGCAAACGGG